rnacentral:rRNA from 1 species
CGUACACUAAAACACACAGGUUGUGAACUCGAAGAGUAGGGCGGGACACGUGGUAUCCUGUCUGAAUAUGGGGGGACCAUCCUCCAAGGCUAAAUACUCCUGACUGACCGAUAGUGAACCAGUACCGUGAGGGAAAGGCGAAAAGAACCCCGGCGAGGGGAGUGAAAAAGAACCUGAAACCGUGUACGUACAAGCAGUAGGAGCCCACUAGUUGGGUGACUGCGUACCUUUUGUAUAAUGGGUCAGCGACUUAUAUUCUGUAGCAAGGUUAACCGAAUAGGGGAGCCGCAGGGAAACCGAGUCUUAACUGGGCGUUAAGUUGCAGGGUAUAGACCCGAAACCCGGUGA